rnacentral:rRNA from 1 species
GAUGAACGCUGGCGGCGUGCCUAAUACAUGCAAGUCGAGCGAACAGACGAGGAGCUUGCUCCUCUGACGUUAGCGGCGGACGGGUGAGUAACACGUGGAUAACCUACCUAUAAGACUGGGAUAACUUCGGGAAACCGGAGCUAAUACCGGAUAACAUGUUGAACCGCAUGGUUCAACAGUGAAAGACGGUCUUGCUGUCGCUUAUAGAUGGAUCCGCGCCGCAUUAGCUAGUUGGUAAGGUAACGGCUUACCAAGGCAACGAUGCGUAGCCGACCUGAGAGGGUGAUCGGCCACACUGGAACUGAGACACGGUCCAGACUCCUACGGGAGGCAGCAGUAGGGAAUCUUCCGCAAUGGGCGAAAGCCUGACGGGGCAACGCCGCGUGAGUGAAGAAGGUCUUCGGAUCGUAAAACUCUGUUAUUAGGGAAGAACAAAUGUGUAAGUAACUAUGCACGUCUUGACGGUACCUAAUCAGAAAGCCACGGCUAACUACGUG